GCGUUAUCCGGAUCUAUUAGGUUUAAAGGGUGCGUAGGCGGGAUAGUAAGUCAGUGGUGAAAGCCUGCGGCUUAACCGUAGAAUUGCCAUUGAUACUACUAUUCUUGAGUACAGUUGAGGUGGGCGGAAUGUGUUAUGUAGCGGUGAAAUGCAUAGAUAUGACACAGAACACCGAUUGCGAAGGCAGCUCACUAAGCUGAUACUGACGCUGAGGCACGAAAGCGUGGGGAGCAAACAGGAUUAGAUACCCUGGUAGUCCACGCCGUAAACGAUGAUCACUAGCUGUAGGCGAUAUACAGUCUGCGGCUGAGCAAAAGUAUUAAGUGAUCCACCUGGGGAGUACGUCAGCAAUGAUGAAACUCAAAGGAAUUGACGGGGGCCCGCACAAGCGGAGGAACAUGUGGUUUAAUUCGAUGAUACGCGAGGAACCUUACCUGGGCUUAAAUGCUUUCUGAUCGUUUCGGAAACGGAAUUUCCCUUCGGGGCAGAUUGCAAGGUGCUGCAUGGUUGUCGUCAGCUCGUGCCGUGAGGUGUCGGGUUAAGUCCCAUAACGAGCGCAACCCUUAUUGUUAGUUACCAGCGGGUAAUGCCGGGGACUCUAACAAAACUGCCGGUGUAAACCGUGAGGAAGGUGGGGAUGACGUCAAAUCAGCACGGCCCUUAUGUCCAGGGCUACACACGUGUUACAAUGGCCAGUACAAAAGGCAGCUACCUGGUAACAGGAUGCUAAUCCCCAAACCUGGUCCCAGUUCGGAUCGGAAUCUGCAACUCGAUUUCGUGAAGCUGGAUUCGCUAGUAAUCGCACAUCAGCCAUGGUGCGGUGAAUACGUUCCCGGGCCUUGUACACACCGCCCGUCAAGCCAUGGAAGCCGAGGGUGCCUAAAGUCCGUAACCGCAAGGAGCGGCCUAGGGUAAAUCGUAACUAGGNU
rnacentral:rRNA from 1 species